rnacentral:rRNA from 1 species
AUGGCCAUCAACUUCUCUAGCUGCCGUGGCGUCGCCUGUCCUUCCGACUCCAACGACGUGGAGAUGGCCCUUCCCGCCGCGGCUGCCGACGUUUCUGUCCCGCAGAGCGCCGGGGGGUCGAACGCGUCGGCGGCUAAGCCUGUGAGGGCGGCGGCAGGGCACUCGAGGCUCGGCGUCAUACUGCUCGACCUCAUCUCCGACCCGCCCAGCCACCUCUGGGUGCUUACACUCCACUUCGCGGGGCUGCCCUACCUCAUCAGCAUGUACCGGAGAGUCACAAUGGUGGCGACGGGCUCCGGCAUAUGCGUGUUCCUGUCGUUCCUGAUGCAGCCGAGCUGGGCGGAGGUGUCUCUGGUGUUUUGGAUAUUUUAA